rnacentral:rRNA from 1 species
UACGUAGGUGGCAAGCGUUGUCCGGAAUUACUGGGUGUAAAGCGCGUGUAGGCGGCAGACCAAGUCGGCGGUGAAAGCGCCCGGCUCAACUGGGCGAGGUCCGUGGAAACUGGUCAGCUGGAGGACGGUAGAGGCGAGUGGAAUUCCCGGUGUAGUGGUGGAAUGCGUAGAUAUCGGGAGGAACACCGGUGGCGAAGGCGGCGACCUGGGUAGAUACUGACGCUGAGGCGCGAAAGCGUGGGGAGCAAACAGG